rnacentral:ncRNA from 1 species
AAGCGCCGUAUACCGAACGGUACGUACGGUGCUGUGAGAGGACAGCGGUUAGCCACCGCCUCCUACUCGAU